rnacentral:rRNA from 1 species
ACGGGUGAGUAACACGUAGGCAACCUGCCGACAGGAUGGGGACAACAUUCCGAAAGGAAUGCUAAUACCGAAUGAAAUCCGAGGAGGGCAUCCUCCUCGGCUCAAAGAUGGCCUCUUUGCAAUGCUAUCGCCUGUCGAUGGGCCUGCGUCUGAUUAGCCAGUUGGCGGGGUAACGGCCCACCAAAGCGACGAUCAGUAGCCGGUCUGAGAGGAUGAACGGCCACAUUGGGACUGAGACACGGCCCAGACUCCUGCGGGAGGCAGCAGUGGGGAAUCUUCCACAAUGGGCGAAAGCCUGAUGGAGCAACGCCGCGUGAGUGAAGAAGGUCUUCGGGUCGUAAAGCUCUGUUGCACGGGACGAAAACCGGGUUUGAAAACAUUGAGCCUGGGUGACGGUACUGUGCGAGGAAGCCACGGCUAACUACGUGCCAGCAGCCGCGGUAAUACGUAGGUGGCGAGCGUUGUCCGGAAUUAUUGGGCGUAAAGGGAGCGCAGGCGGGCAUAUCAGUCCAUCUUAAAAGUGCGGGGCUCAACCCCGUGAGGGGAUGGAAACUGUAUGUCUUGAGUGCAGGAGAGGAAAGCGGAAUUCCCAGUGUAGCGGUGAAAUGCGUAGAUAUUGGGAGGAACACCAGUGGCGAAGGCGGCUUUCUGGACUGCAACUGACGCUGAGGCUCGAAAGCCAGGGGAGCGAACGGGAUUAGAU